AGAGUUUGAUCAUGGCUCAGGAUGAACGCUGGCGGCGUGCUUAACACAUGCAAGUCGAACGAACCUUCGGGUUAGUGGCGGACGGGUGAGUAACGCGUGGGAAUCUGCCCUCAGGAGGGGGAUAACGGUUGGAAACGGCCGCUAAUACCCCAUAUGCCGAGAGGUGAAAUGAAUUUCGCCUGAGGAUGAGCCCGCGUCUGAUUAGCUAGUUGGUGAGGUAAGAGCUCACCAAGGCAUCGAUCAGUAGCUGGUCUGAGAGGAUGAUCAGCCACACUGGGACUGAGACACGGCCCAGACUCCUACGGGAGGCAGCAGUGGGGAAUUUUCCGCAAUGGGCGAAAGCCUGACGGAGCAACGCCGCGUGAGGGAUGAAGGCCUCUGGGCUGUAAACCUCUUUUAUCAAGGAAGAAGAUCUGACGGUACUUGAUGAAUAAGCCACGGCUAAUUCCGUGCCAGCAGCCGCGGUAAUGCGGGAGUGGCAAGCGUUAUCCGGAAUUAUUGGGCGUAAAGCGUCCGCAGGCGGCCCUACAAGUCUGCUGUUAAAAAGUGGAGCUUAACUCCAUCAUGGCAGUGGAAACUGUUGGGCUCGAGUGUGGUAGGGGCAGAGGGAAUUCCCGGUGUAGCGGUGAAAUGCGUAGAUAUCGGGAAGAACACCAGUGGCGAAGGCGCUCUGCUGGGCCAUCACUGACGCUCAUGGACGAAAGCCAGGGGAGCGAAAGGGAUUAGAUACCCCUGUAGUCCUGGCCGUAAACGAUGAACACUAGGUGUCGGGGGAAUCGACCCCUCCGGUGUCGUAGCCAACGCGUUAAGUGUUCCGCCUGGGGAGUACGCACGCAAGUGUGAAACUCAAAGGAAUUGACGGGGGCCCGCACAAGCGGUGGAGUAUGUGGUUUAAUUCGAUGCAACGCGAAGAACCUUACCAGGGUUUGACAUCCUGCGAAUCUCUUGGAAACUUGAGAGUGCCUUCGGGAGCGCAGUGACAGGUGGUGCAUGGCUGUCGUCAGCUCGUGUCGUGAGAUGUUGGGUUAAGUCCCGCAACGAGCGCAACCCACGUCUUUAGUUGCCAGCAUUUAGUUGGGCACUCUAGGGAGACCGCCGGUGAUAAACCGGAGGAAGGUGUGGAUGACGUCAAGUCAUCAUGCCCCUUACAUCCUGGGCUACACACGUACUACAAUGCUACGGACAAAGGGCAGCAAGUUCGCGAGGACAAGCAAAUCCCAUAAACCGUAGCUCAGUUCAGAUCGUAGGCUGCAACUCGCCUACGUGAAGGAGGAAUCGCUAGUAAUCGCAGGUCAGCAUACUGCGGUGAAUACGUUCCCGGGCCUUGUACACACCGCCCGUCACACCAUGGAAGUUGGCCACGCCCGAAGCCGUUACUCCAACCCUUGUGGAGGAGGACGUCGAAGGUGGGGCUGAUGACUGGGGUGAAGUCGUAACAAGGUAACCGUA
rnacentral:rRNA from 1 species